AGAAGAAGAAAGAAAAAAGAAAACGAGACACCGUUUCCGGUGGUGCUGUUGACUUUGUUUCUUUCUUUUUUUCUUAUCUGUCUU
rnacentral:ribozyme from 15 species